rnacentral:misc_RNA from 1 species
CAAACCUCAAGCCUUGCUUGGUGAUGGGCCCCGCCCGCGCGGCGGGCCCGAAACUCGUGGGCGCCCCCAGCCGGACUCCAAGCGUAGCAAAACCCUCGCUUGCGGACGACCGGUCGGAGGCCGCCCCGGACCCCAAAUUUUUCAAU